GGUGAAUGUCUGAUAAUCAAGACUUAGUUUGGGAACAUGGAGAGAAGAUUGGCAUUGGCUUCAAGUGCAAGUAUUGUCGUGUUGAAAAGGGUGGAGGAGGGGCAACACGGCUAAAGGAGCAUUUGGCACACCGAGGGAAGAAUGUGAGGUAUUGUCCCAAUGUUCCUAAAGAAGUGAAGGAGUACUUCGGGCUUCAGAUCGACAAUAACAAGCAAAGAACGAAAGCAAGACAUCGUCGAAAGCUAAGAGAAAAUGAAGCAGCUAGAACUGAAUAUGUGGACUUAGAGACUGAGAAUGACGACCAUGAUUUGGAAGCUGCUCUCCGACAGUCGAGAGAAGAGCAUGAGUAUAGAGAGAGGGCUUGUCAACGAUAUGAGAGAGGUGGUGGUUCCAGAUCGGGGCAAGUGAGAGGUACGUUCCCAUCUAUGCUCACUAGGAGCAGGACACAAGUGCCAGACCGUGUGAGAGACUACAAUCUUGCUUCUGCCUCUGGCCCAGGACAACCACGAAUUGAUAUAGGCCCAUGGACGGAAAAGGGGAGAGGGGCCAACAGCAAGAUUGGGAGAGCGUGGGAGAAGUUUUGCCAUGCGGCUGGUAUCCUCGGGAAGGUGAUAGCUCCAGUUCAGUGAGUUCAACCUUCAGCUAUCCACGUCCACCCUCCUACCCAUAUCCAUACCCACAACCAUACCCAUAUCCGUACCCACAACCAUAUUCACACCCACCACCAUAUCCAAGCCACUUCAUUCAACUACCGGUACAUCUUGGCAUGAGCACUAGUGGUCAGAUUGGUGAAUUACAGGAAUAUUAUUAUGGAUAUCACACAUACCAGCAAGAAGAGACCGAAGAAUGAUUAAAUUGAUAUGCCGAAUGCCUUUAUGUAUGGACUAUGUGCUUGCUAGUUUGUAUGUGGCUUGUAUAGACUAUGUACUUUUGUUUCUAUGCACUAUGAGGUUUGUAUGAACUAUGCACUAUUUUGUUUCUGUGAACUAUGAAGUUUGUAUGGACUAUGCACUCGUUUAUUUAUAUGAACUAUGCACUUCGCGGUUUGUAUA